AGGCGCCGGCCCUGGAGAAGCCGGGAGAAGCUUGGAGAAGUUCGGAGACGUGCCCUUCGGCUGCUGCCUGGACCUUGGAGGGCACCCGCCGCCUCCACCGCCAAGGCCCAGGCCCUGCUCUGAGCUCCGGGAGGGACGCAGCCUGCACAGCCCCAGCUGGAAGUGAGGGACCAGGGACCCAGCGGGUCCACCGGGAACCACCAGGACCCGACAGCACGAGCUACCCAGGGCACAAGACACCACAGGCCACAGAUCAAUAAACCAAAAGCCGAAAAGAGCUCCCUUCCAAGGAAGGCUGUGGAGCCCAGAUGGCAAGGGGCUUGCUGCACCCACACCUGAGCCACCACGGGACAGGCAGGCACCAGGAGCAGACCCCCUGACUCACAGAUGCCUGUGGUGUGACUCUGAAUACACCCCAGCUUCCCUGGGCCUGAGGGGAGAGGGGCUCCAUGAA